rnacentral:rRNA from 1 species
CCCUUAGAUGUUCUGGGCCGCACGCGCGCUACACUGACAGAGCCAACGAGUUCUUCACCUUGGCCGGAAGGUCUGGGUAAUCUUGUUAAACUCUGUCGUGCUGGGGAUAGAGCAUUGCAAUUAUUGCUCUUCAACGAGGAAUGCCUAGUAAGCGCGUGUCAUCAGCACGCGUUGAUUACGUCCCUGCCCUUUGUACACACCGCCCGUCGCUACUACCGAUUGAAUGGCUCAGCGAGGCCUUCGGACUGGCUUAGGGAGGUUGGCAACGACCACCCCGAGCCGGAAAGUUCGUCAAACUCGGUCAUUUAGAGGAAGUAAAAGUCGUAACA